rnacentral:rRNA from 1 species
CAAUAGCGUAUACUAAUGUUGUUGCAGUUAAAAAGCUCGUAGUUGAACUUCUGGUAGGAGUGACCGAACCGUUGGACGAAUGUCCUCUGUUUGUUUGUGUCAUCUCUGGCCAUCCUCGCUGGCUUUUAGUCAGCGUCUUUCACUGUAAAUAAAUUAGGGUGUUCCAAGCAGAUAAUUUUCGGAAUAUUUCAGUAUGGGAUGAUAAGAUAGGCUCUCGAUGCUAUUUUGUCGGUUUGCACAUCAAGAGAAUGAUUAACAGGGACAGUUGGGGGUAUUCGUAUUUAGAUGUCAGAGGUGAAAUUCUUAGAUUUUCGAAAGACGAACUACUGCGAAGGCAUUUACCAAGGAUGUUUUCAUUAAUCAAGAACGAAAGUUAGGGGAUCGAAGACGAUUAGAUACCGU